CGUACGGGUGAGUAACACGUAUCCAACCUGCCGUCUACUCUUGGCCAGCCUUCUGAAAGGAAGAUUAAUCCAGGAUGGCAUCAUGAGUUCACAUGUCCGCAUGAUUAAAGGUAUUUUCCGGUAGACGAUGGGGAUGCGUUCCAUUAGAUAGUAGGCGGGGUAACGGCCCACCUAGUCAACGAUGGAUAGGGGUUCUGAGAGGAAGGUCCCCCACAUUGGAACUGAGACACGGUCCAA
rnacentral:rRNA from 1 species